GACGAACGCUGGCGGCGUGCUUAACACAUGCAAGUCGAGCGGUAAGGCCCUUUCGGGGGUACACGAGCGGCGAACGGGUGAGUAACACGUGGGUGACCUGCCCUCAGCUCUGGGAUAAGCCUGGGGAACCGGGUCUAAUACUGGAUAUGACUCCAUGACGCAUGUUGUGGGGUGGAAAGCCUUGUGCGGCUGAGGAUGGGCCCGCGGCCUAUCAGCUUGUUGGUGGGGUGAGGCCUACCAAGGCGACGACGGGUAGCCGGCCUGAGAGGGCGACCGGCCACACUGGGACUGAGACACGGCCCAGACUCCUACGGGAGGCAGCAGUGGGGAAUCUUGCGCAAUGGGCGAAAGCCUGACGCAGCGACGCCGCGUGAGGGAUGACGGCCUGG
rnacentral:rRNA from 1 species